AUGGUUGGACCACUGAGAACUGGCAGGAGCGGCUUCACUCACUUACUAGUAGCAGUCGACAAGUUUACCAAAUGGAUUGAAGCUAAGCCUAUCAAGAAUCUGGAUGUUGGCACUGCUAUCAGCUUCAUCAGAGAGUUAGUAUUCAGAUAUGGAGUUCUGCACAGCAUCAUCACAGAUAAUGGGUCAAACUUUGAUUUCGACGAAUUCAGAGCCUUUUGCGCGUCUCAAGGCACACGAGUCGACUACGCUUCAGUCGCUCACCCCCAGUCGAAUGGACAAGCAGAACGAGUGAAUGGUUUAAUUCUCAAAGGACUGAAACCCUGA
rnacentral:rRNA from 1 species